rnacentral:rRNA from 1 species
CCUACGGGAGGCAGCAGUGGGGAAUAUUGGGCAAUGGAGGCAACUCUGACCCAGCAAUGCCGCGUGAGUGAUGAAGGUAAUUUUAUUGUAAAGCUCUUUUCUUUGGAACGAAUAAAUGACGGUACCAAAGGAAUAAGCCCCGGCUAACUACGUGCCAGCAGCCGCGGUCAUACGUAGGGGGCAAGCGUUGUUCGGAAUGACUGGGGGUAAAGGGGGUGUAGGUGGUUUGAUAAGUUAGAUGUGUAAUACCCAGGGCUUAACUCGGGUGCUGCAUCUAAAACUGUUAGUCUUGAGUACUGGAGAGGAUAGUGGAAUUCCUAGUGUAGCGGUGGAAUGCGUAGAUAUUAGGAGGAACAUCAGUGGCGAAGGCGACUAUCUGGACAGCAACUGACACUGAGGCACGAAAGCGUGGGGAGCAAACAGGAUUAGAUACCCCUGUAGUC